rnacentral:siRNA from 1 species
UGGAUUCGGGUUUUUUUCCUGCUC